CUGUAGCUGACCAGUUGAUGGAAGAUACUGCAGAGUUUGGCAGGGAAAUAACCCAAGACAGCAAAGCGGCUCUUUUGGCGCAUUUACCAAGAGGACUAACAUGGCCACAAAUUCAUGAGAUCAUGCAGGAGCCGUACAGUAUAACAGCAGUACAAGUUCUAUAAAAGAUCCACGACCUACUGAAGCCCAGCUAAUUAACAAAAAAGUUUUAAAAAACUGUAAUUUUAUCCCACCUGGGUACUUAUAAUUUACUAAGCUGCCUACACAAGUUUUAGACUUGCAAUUAUAUUUUAAAUUGUCACUUGGAAAGUAAUACAUGUACAUGCAUUAUGUUCUGAAUU